rnacentral:lncRNA from 1 species
AUCCCUUUCCUGUUUUAUCUGUGCUAUGAAGCAGCAAGCUUAAGAAUGGUCUAGAAGUCCUGGGAAAUCUGUCACUUGCUUGCUUGGCAGCCGUGGGAUAAUCACUUGCCCCUCCUGAGCCUCAGUUUUCUUCUCUGAGUUUCACUCUUGUUGCCCAGGCUGGAGUACAAUGGCGCCAUCUUAGCUCACUGCAACCUCUGCCUUCUGCGUUCAAGCGAUUCUCUUGCCUCAGCCUCCCGAUGGUUACAGCCUUCAGCCAUGAUUGUAAGAUUCCUGAGUCUUCAUCAGAAGCAGAGCAGACGUCCAGCGCCAUGAUUCCGAUACAGCCUGCAGAACUAACUUUCUUCAGUUUGUCUCUCCUGGAAGGAUGAGCACCUCCACACUCAAGGUUUGACUAUAUUGAAACUACGUCAUUGAUCAUCAAAUCACAAGAAACAAGGAGUUUUAGUCUUCACUAGAAGCGCACCUAUGUGACCUUGAGCAAGUGUAUUCAGCCUUUCUUGGUCUCCCUUUCCCCAUCUGUAAAAUGAAUGUGUGGUUUGGUGAUGGCUGGUCUGUGGAUCCAUUGCAUCAGAAUCACCUGGAAAGCUACUGCAAAUGCUAAUUUGCAGGUCCUAGCCCAAUCAUGAAUAUCUUUGCAC